rnacentral:rRNA from 1 species
AGAUCUUGACAUCCAAUUGACCAUCUUUUAAUCGAGAUUUUGCCUUCGGGUACAAUUGAGACAGGUGGUGCAUGGUUGUCGUCAGCUCGUGUCGUGAGAUGUUGGGUUAAGUCCCGCAACGAGCGCAACCCUUGUGUUUAGUUGCAAACAGGUCAAGCUGUGCACUCUAGACAGACUGCCGUGGACAACACGGAGGAAGGUGGGGAUGACGUCAAAUCAUCAUGCCCCUUAUGAUCUGGGCUACACACGUGCUACAAUGGCCGGUACAACGGGCAGCGAAGGAGCGAUCCGGAGCGAAUCCUAAAAAGCCGGUCCCAGUUCGGAUUGCAGGCUGAAACUCGCCUACAUGAAGCUGGAUUCGCUAGUAAUCGCGCAUCAGCCAUGGCGCGGUGAAUACGUUCCCGGGCCUU